ensembl:lncRNA
CUCAGUUUCAACCACUUUACUGGUAAAAAUAAUAAUAAUAAUAAAUCGGCGUAUAUCCAUUUUUCCCUCAGAGGGACUGUGAGCUAGCAUUAGGCAGAAUUGAGAGCUGUCAGCCAAUAAGACACGAGCAUUUCCUGUAAACCCUGUCUGAUUGGUCUCACCUCCGUUCACUGAAGAUAUAAAAUCACAACACCGCCGUCUUCUUUUAGUGACGUUCAGUUACGUAGCGACAAACCGCUCCAAGUGGAGAAUCACUCAGGGCUAAAGAAAAACUCUUCGGGGAAAAACGAGAUUGAAACGUGAUUUAUUUUUAAAAUGCAUUUUACUUAAUAUUGUUUUCUUAACAAUAAAUUUGUCACGCAAGUAACGUAAUUUUACAGACAUCAGUAACUAUAAUCAAAUGACGUAAAUUUCAAAGAUAAUGCGUUACAUUACCGCGUUAUUAGAUUACAGUAACGUGUUACACCCAACCCUGGUCCUCGAUGUGUUAUUGUUUAAUCAGUCCGUACAGGAUUUCAGAGUUUUUUUGGAAUCUCGCCUAGGGUGCCAAAACGGCCAGAAACAGCCCUGCUUUUUAUUCCUAAACCUUCCAUCGACAGAACACGUUAAGUCCAAGUUAUCGUUAUUAAGUGUAUUCAAUUGACUGAGGUUUGGGAUUAAAACCCAUUCAAUUCACAGGACCAGUCAAUUAAACGAAUUGAUAGAACUCAGAAAUAAAUCGAACAGCUUUUGUAUAGGUGGGCUGUGAUUUCCGCAUCUGUAAUAAAAUCAAAUCAAAUAAAAAGAUCAACCUGGCUAUGCUUCACACACCCCUGGAAAUCCCCGGGCCCAGUUUUGACAAAUCCCCGCAUUUCACCAACAAAAGUUGCUAUCAAGCAGUUAUUAUACCAAGAUCAAAUCUCAACAAAUGUAGAAACCGAGAUAAAGAAAGCUGUUAUAAAACACCAGCUGAAAUUCCAAAAGCAUGAUCUGCGGUAAUACAAUAAAGUAGAGAGAUUUCUUAGAGAUAUCUGUGCUCUGGCUUGAUAGGAAAACUCUUAAAGUAAAAACACAUGCAGUUUGGUCUGAACUAGCAGUCACUUCGUGCAACUGCAAUGCAGUACUUGAAGCUUUUACCCACAAUCCAGUGCUUAAAUGAAAUGAAUUACUAUGUCUCAUUAAAGUUCAUCAGAAUAUAUAAGAUGCCUUCUAAUGCCUAGUCUCAGUCUCAG